GGGAUCUUAGCUCAGCUGGGAGAGCAUCUGCCUUACAAGCAGAGGGUCAUAGGUUCGAGCCCUAUAGGCCCCA
rnacentral:tRNA from 1 species